AGCGAAGGACUCUCCUGCUUGAAGACAGCUGGCCAGAAGAGCACUGGACUCUGUGAACUCCAGAUCCAAAUUAACAUAAGGGGAGAAGCCGCUUUGUUUAAAUUUCUGAUGGAUGUUUACAAAGAAGCACAGGGAAGAAUGCUUCUCCUUGCUCUUGAAAAUUGAGGCAUCAGUAAUGGUCCAGUCUUCUCCCUGGCACAGGGGGUAUCCUGCCAGCAGUCAGCACAGGACAAAUGCAUGCAUCUGGGGUCUUGGGAGAAUGAAGUGCUGGGCUCACCCUCACCUGUCAUCUCUUUGCAUUCACGUCUCUCUCUCCUGCGUGAAGACUACAUCCCGAACCUACAAAAUGCUGCUCCAUUGUGAACAUGCUCUGCCAGUGUCUGCUGUGAAAAGUCUACUGUACCAUGCCUGUGGCGGCCUCAGUACCAAAGGUGUUUAUAGACCUUGUCUUCAGGCACCCAGAGGACAUGUUUCAGGAUCCGCACAGCCUGGAAGACUUUAAGCACUUUCGCAAUUUUUUUUUUUUUCAGUUUAUUUUCUUGCCCUUUCCCUGCCCUCCCCCCUGCCCCAUUUUCCCCUUGCAGCUGUUGGAUGGGGUUGACAGUGUGGCUCUUUCAGCCUUGCUGAGGUUCGCUGGGCAACAAUUUCAUGUCCACUUAUAGUCCUCUCACUUACCCUAGUCAAUCCUUUCACUCAAACCAGUUAGACAAGCACAAGAAUUUGGAUAACAGCAACGAAAUCAGAAACACUUUUUUCCCCCAUUAACAAAGAAAAGAAUUGGAGGAUUCAGUUAAGACUGAAAUUGAGUACUUGAGCCAUCCCAAUAAAUUGGAAAGCACUUUUUUACAAUUUUAAUCAUUUUCAAACUCCUUAUAAACUGUUAUCUAGACACAAUUUUGGAUGAAUGCUUACUCCCCACCAGGAGAUUGUAAUUCAUCAAAAAAAAAAAAAAAAAAAAGGAACAGUAACAUCCAGAAAUUCUAGUGACCAAUAUGAGUAUGUUCAAUAUUCCUCAAUAAGAAAUCUAAGGAAAGUAGCAGAAACUACUUCUACUGAAUUUAGAAAAGCUUUAUUUCCUCUGUUAUAUAAAAACAAGCACUGAUCAUAAAAUCUAAGUCUUAUCCAGGCCAUUCAACUAUUUGCUUAGAUGACAGCAGUGAGUAAAUGUUUGUCUCAUGUUGAGAGAUGUUGGACUUGAUACUACAGUCACAUGGGGGUAGUAGCUUUUAUUCUUUUAUUUUUCCCUUUAGCAGUGUAAAUAAAUACUUGCUAAUUUUUCUGUUUUCUCUGUUGAGGUUUUUUUUUUUUUUAAGGUAGAGUCCACUUAUAUUAUUGGCAGACUUUGUGGGAGUGCUAUUUCUACCCUAGCUUUGGCUGCAAAUACGUCAAAAGGAUGAGCCCUGAGGUUUGCUGACAAUAAAGCC